ACUAUUAAGAGCAAACUGGUGAAUGUCUGGUGUCACAUUUCCAGGAUGGACAAUAAUACCCUCCCACAUCUUUAUCCUACCAAGAUGAUUUAUCUCAACGCAAUUUUGAAAAAAAAAAACCUGCGCGCAGAACAAAGAAAACGCAACUAACAAAACAACUCCUUAUCCUACCAAGAUGAAACCACUGAUUCAGGGAAGAUGGAGCACGGGCCGGACAGCAUCUCCGCCUUCCUCCGCCCGCCGGGGCCCUUGCCUGUCCUGGCGAAGAAGACGACGUAUCUCCGCUCUGGUCAUCCACAUGGAUCAUGGGCCGGGCGGGGAGAUGGUAAUUGACCUCCAAUCGCCAUGCCCGUCCACUUCCCCUUUUCGCUCGAUUCCGUCAGUUAUGACUCGAUUCCUUCAAGGAGCAGGAGGAUGGCGGUGAGCCGGUGAGGCGGAGCUCCUGGACUCACCGAGAUCGUGGGAGGAUGCUUAGAGGCAUCGGGGAAGCGCCGGAUUGAGGGAACCGACGGUGGCCCUGUUCAGCCCGAUGUGAAGACGAUUCGCUCUAUUUCGUCAGUCCCGGCUAGAUUCCAUAAAUAAGUAGGAGGAUGAUGUCGAGGCGGAGCUCCUGGACACGGCGGCCUGCCCCGAGAGGUUGAGCAGCGAGGGACCUCGUGAUGGUACAUCGGUGGACUGCAAGGGAGCUGGAGCUUGGAGGUGGUGCUGAGCAGAGGAAGACGGUUGUAUUGGUGCUGAGUUGCUCGCGUGAAGAGGAGUUUGGGAUGCUCGUCCGUGUAGAGAAGAUGGACAAAGCAAAGAGAUAUUUAAAUUUCUAGAUUGCUGAUGCAAACUGAAGUUUGUUGCUAUUGCUAACUAAAUGGUUGGACAUGGGCGGCGGCUGGACGGAACAUGAAGGGUGCGUCGACGGAGGAGGAGCGGUUGAAGACCUCUAGCGAGUCAGGCUGCAGAUGCUACUUGGUCCACCGAGUGUUUAGGUGGAAGUCAUGGUCAACAUGAAUGAGCGACAGCGAGAGCGAUGAGAAAGAGGUGGUACCGUCCUAGGAGCUUUGCGACAAGGACAAAAUCAUGGCCUUCUUCAACAACCUGCUGAGCGAGUGGUGCCAACAGGUUGAUAAGAUGCAUGUUCGGCCAAGGGAAAGGCCGUCGUGACCACGUGUGCUCUUCAAGGUCCACAAGAAAAAGGUAUGAACCAUCUUCUACACUUGGACUUCUCUUCUUGUUCUUAAGAUUUGAAUCAAUCGGUGCUUAGGUUGCAACUUUUACUAAAGGAAAAAAACAUGAUGCAUCUACCCGUGUUAAUGCUAAUCUUUACUAUUAAGGUGAAACCUGUGAAUGGCUGGUGUCACACCCGAAAAAAUACAAACAAAUGCCACCGCACUAACUAACAAUCAAUAGUUCAGUUUUGUUGUUGAAAGGGCGUGAUACUUGGCGUAACUAUCCUGAUUAACAUGAAUCAAAUCUGAAAUUAUUCUCAAGAAAAAUAAACAAACAAACUCAAGAGUAAUACCGAAGGCAUGGGCACGCAAGCGUGGGUGAUGCGAUAUUACAUGUCAUUCCUAGGCAAGUUCUUGGCGGAGUACCUGCUAGACUUCCUGGAGAUAGUGUUAGAGGAUGAGGCCCUGGAGUCCCGCGGAGCUCCCUCAUGGAUCUAAUGGAGUCAAACAAGAGCGUGAUGUUGGCGAGCAGGGCCGAUGAAGUUCUGCUCUGCCUUAAGAAAUAAUUUCCAGGCAUGCCUCCAUUUCCCACUAUGCUAUCGUGAGAAAUCUUUACUGCAAGAUGGUGAAAUUCUUAUCCCAAACUUCCGAAUCAAACAUAGCAUGCAUAUUCGUGUAAGCAUGUGGGAAGCACUUUAGUGUACAAUGAAAUUGAAUUUACCACUUAGUUUGUUGUUUCUACUUAAAGAAUCGGGGGCUUCCCUAAAAUAGGAAUAUAUCUGAAUCAUGUUUUAUAACUUGAGUUUUCUUGCAUGCAAAGGGAAAUCUUUGUGAUCUGAUUUUCUUUCUGAAUAAUCAAGUACGCCUUCUGUGCACUCAGAUUAUGUGCUUCAUUUCGAAACAUGCAAAACCCUUAUUUGAGUUCAUUGGUUUUACAUCAUUUCGGCUUGUACAUUUUUUUCAAUAGCUAAUAUUAGAACUCAACAUUCCCAAAUUGGUAUUAAUUCAAAGAUACCCAAUUCUCUGCGAGAAUAAUCUUUCUUGUAUAUUAUUCCCAGAGGAGUCUUUGAUUAUUAGAAAUAGUUUGAGAUUGAUCAAUUUUAAGUUUUAAACAGUAUUGUUUACUAUAUUUCUUCAAUUCCACUUUCUUGUUCCCUCCACCUUUUUGAUGUCUAAUGAAAUAAAUGAAUAAUUAAAUAUCACUAAUUAUUUUUACAAAUAGGAUAACACUAGCACUAAAUACGCUCCUCAAUUAUUUGUCCUAACUUGAAUCUAUACAUAAUUUGUGCUUAAAAUGUAAAUUCUCCAGAGAUAUCUCUCUUCGUAUUUAAGUUCAUACAAAGGAGAGUUUGAAUCGAGAAAAGAGUUUGGUGGAAAGGAGAAUACUAGGGAAGAGAUCAUCGGGAGCAGAAAGACAACAAAGAUGUGAGAUUUGCAUUAGCUCAUGAGUUCCAAUCAAGUCGAUUUAUCAUUUAAAUGAUAGAACUGAAAUAUUAAGUUAUACAUGCAUGGUCAUUUCACCGGGAAAGGGGUGGCUAAUUGGAUUUUUCUAUACCAAUUUUCUCGGGAUCAAGAACAAACCCAAGCUCCUACCUUCACCAAAUGAAGGUAGUGAAGACUAUUAUGUUUUUGUUGUUGCAUCGGCGGAGAUGAGCCUCUCGAUGGAUGUCGGUAUAAUCGUCGUCUAGGUGAAUGGGAAGAAGGUUGUUGUUCGGGCAACGCCGCGGGCGUGAAACCGAAGUAGUGCUGUAGGGAACAUUUAAGAUAUCCGACGGAGGAGACGCAAAGGCGGAGUGGGGCGACAUGCUUCGAAGCUACUUGGACUCCUUCAGUACGUCUGUACGUCUUUGGUGCCUCCGUCUAGCGGUACUUCACAAAAUCAGAUGUUGCGGUCCAGAUACGGUUGUGGGGACGUGACAUGUGACAUGGAUUGAAAAAAGGUUGUGAUGCAACAAAAUUUGUGGAGAAUUGAUUAUGGACUUAGUAUUUGUGGUUUUAGUUAACAUGUACGAUGAAUUAAGAUGGGAGUUAUUAUCCUUUUCUGAUGGGUGGGAGGGGGUGGGAGGGAGUAAAUUGAUUCUAGGGCGUGCCGCUGAAGGUCGGUGACUAAAUGAAGAAACAAUUCCCAUACUUGUUUUGUACCCUCUCGCUGUAUUGACGACAAAAAAACAAGUGAUUGUUGAGAUUGUACAAAAUAGCUCUAAUAGUUUGACAA